GGCCUAUUAGCUCAGCUGGUUAGAGCAUCGUGCUAAUAACGAGAAGGUCGAGACCUGCAUGGGCCA
rnacentral:tRNA from 1 species